GGUUCAGUGGUAGAAUUCCCACCUUCUACGUGUGAGACCCAGGCUCAAUUCCUGG
rnacentral:tRNA from 1 species